AUAAUACUCCCUCUGUCCCAAAAUUCUUGUCUUAGAUUUGUCUAGAUACGGAUGUAUCUAAUAGAUACGGAUGUACUAAUACUAAAAUGUGAUGUAUCUAAUACUAAAAUGUGACUUGAUAUAUCCGCAUCUAACAAAUCUAAGACAAGAAUUUUGGGACGGAGGGAGUAGUGA
rfam:Triticum aestivum genome assembly, contig: Triticum_aestivum_CS42_TGACv1_scaffold_433946_5DL